UUGAUUGAAGGUCUGUCUUUCUUCAGACCUCCCUGGUUGAUUGGAGGUCUGUCUUUCUUCAAACCUCCCUGGUUGAUUGGAGGUCCGUCUUUCUUCGGACCUCCCUGGUUGAUUGGAGGUCUGUCUUUCUUUAGACCUCCCUGGUUGAUUGGAGGUCUGUCUUUCUUCAGACCUCCCUGGUUGAUUCAAGGUCUG